rnacentral:rRNA from 1 species
CCUACGGGGGGCUGCAGUGGGGAAUAUUGCACAAUGGGCGCUAGCCUGAUGCAGCCAUGCCGCGUGUGUGAAGAAGGCCUUCGGGUUGUAAAGCACUUUCAGCGGGGAGGAAGGCGGUGAGGUUAAUAACCUCAUCGGUUGACGUUACCCGCAGAAGAAGCACCGGCUAACUCCGUGCCAGCAGCCGCGGUAAUACGGAGGGUGCAAGCGUUAAUCGGAAUUACUGGGCGUAAAGCGCACGCAGGCGGUCUGUCAAGUCGGAUGUGAAAUCCCCGGGCUCAACCUGGGAACUGCAUUCGAAACUGGCAGGCUAGAGUCUUGUAGAGGGGGGUAGAAUUCCAGGUGUAGCGGUGAAAUGCGUAGAGAUCUGGAGGAAUACCGGUGGCGAAGGCGGCCCCCUGGACAAAGACUGACGCUCAGGUGCGAAAGCGUGGGGAGCAAACAGGAUUAGAUACCCGAGUAGUC